UAGUGAUUACUCCUACGGGAGGCAGCAGUGGGGAAUAUUGGACAAUGGGGGGAACCCUGAUCCAGCCAUGCCGCGUGUGUGAAGAAGGCCUUAUGGUUGUAAAGCACUUUAAGCGAGGAGGAGGCUACUGAGACUAAUACUCUUGGAUAGUGGACGUUACUCGCAGAAUAAGCACCGGCUAACUCUGUGCCAGCAGCCGCGGUAAUACAGAGGGUGCGAGCGUUAAUCGGAUUUACUGGGCGUAAAGCGUGCGUAGGCGGCUUUUUAAGUCGGAUGUGAAAUCCCCGAGCUUAACUUGGGAAUUGCAUUCGAUACUGGGAAGCUAGAGUAUGGGAGAGGAUGGUAGAAUUCCAGGUGUAGCGGUGAAAUGCGUAGAGAUCUGGAGGAAUACCGAUGGCGAAGGCAGCCAUCUGGCCUAAUACUGACGCUGAGGUACGAAAGCAUGGGGAGCAAACAGGAUUAGAUACCCUGGUAGUCCAUGCCGUAAACGAUGUCUACUAGCCGUUGGGGCCUUUGAGGCUUUAGUGGCGCAGCUAACGCGAUAAGUAGACCGCCUGGGGAGUACGGUCGCAAGACUAAAACUCAAAUGAAUUGACGGGGGCCCCCACAAGCGGUGGAGCAUGUGGA
rnacentral:rRNA from 1 species